UUGAUCCAGCGAGGCGCCCAUUGCCGCUCCCGAUUGGGCUAAAGGCUUGCAAUUGUUCCUGCACGCUAAGUGCCUGGGUUCAUCCUCAUCAAGCUGGGUUCCACGGUUCUCUUCAUGACCCGCAGCUUCUAACAGAGCUAUAAAACUCUGUGCAUGGCCCAAGAUUCCAUUCCUUGGAAUCUGUGAGGCCAAGAACCCCAGGUCAGAGAACAGGAGGCUUGCCACCAUCUUGGAAGUGGCUCGCCACCAUCUUAGGAGCUCUGUGAGCGGAGACCCCCACCCCCCGGUAACAUUUUGGCGACCACGAAGGGACCUCCAAAGCGAGCUAGGGAGAUACCUGUGCCAACUCUGGCUUUGUUUGCUCUGCCAGACAAUCCUGAUGCUGCAAAGUCAAAUCAUCGUGAAGGAAGUUUGUGCAAAUGUGGGAAACAGGACUAUAAUCCUGCUUGAAGUUUGCUUAGAUUCCUGGGAAGUCUCCCUAUUCCAACCCUUUUUGAGAAAUGCCCACAGCUCAUAACCUACCUGAGGUUAUUUGGGUCUCAGGAAACACACAGCAUGUGCCAAUGUUCCAAGAAUGAAGCUCUGGUUCCCAGCUUCUGCUGCUCCAACUUCUAUAGCAGCAAGGAGAAAAGAGUAACAGACAUACUGAUCACAUCUAAUUAGAAGGUAAGAAGUAUUCCCUUGAGCAUGUUUAUGACACAGGCACAAUAGGACAGGAGUAGUCUAUUCAAGCGGGUUCCUCAAUCUCAGGACUACUGACAUUCUGGAGAGAAACAUUCUUUGUGUCGGGGGAUGGGGGCUGUUCUGUGCAUUUCAAAAGCUUCUUUGGAUUCUUUCCACUAGAUGUCAAUAGCAUCCCUCCCACCACUGUGGCAAUCCACAACAUCUCCAAACAUCACUAAUAUCCCACAGGGAGAAAAUUUUUCCGGAUUUAGAACCACUGUACUAAGGGAAAAUUAAAACUAGAAAUUUGUAAUUGGUCAGCAUUAUAUACUGAAUGCAUGAAGUAUAAGUAGUCUACAUAGUGAAAAAAUAAUAGGACAAAUAUUCGUAAAACUAACUUAAAGUGAUGUGUAUAAACACAAAGCAUACAUUGACCUUUUGGAAAACUUUUCAUGGGUGAAAGGGAGUGGUAAAAGUAAACCUCUACAGUUAUGACCCUUCUGAAGCAACUGUGUUUGGAAGAAAAAAUGAAAUGUGAGAAUGGUAGAAACUUUUUUCUACACUGGUUCUUACUUUGACCAACUCAUUGGUUUUCAUUGUACCCUUCGGCUUAUGUAAAAUAAUUAUAACUUUUCUUUUCCAUGAUAGCCUUUCAACUAUUUGAAAGCACAUGCUGUUUUGUUCUGAAGUCCAUUUUCCAAACUUUAUUUUGUUAUACAAAAUAGGACAUAGUUUUAGAUCCUCCAUCUUUCUAACCUUUCUCUAAGCAGAGCUUCAAUCUGUUUAUAUUAUUAUUAAGAUUCCCAAGGUUGAGAAUCCUAAUUCCCAUGAGAAACUGAAUCAGUUAGAAAUGCUUUUGUCUCCAAAAUUCAGAAUAUCCUGCAGUGAUUUAAUCCUUUAACAAAAAAAGUUCUUACAUAACAAAAAUUCCAGGGAUGGUUAAUUGUUGAUAUUUGUUCAACUGCUCAAAGACCUAGUCUCUAGCUGAGCAGAUGUUAUUAUGGAGCAAAAAAAGCAGGUGGAAUGGAAGUUAGCAGUGUCAGAAUCUGCAACAUACCUUAUCAAUGCAGACUAGGAAGAGCAUCACCAUUUAUAACUGUAUUAAUGCACUUUAAGAGCUUGUUGCUUCUCUGGGUAUUGUAUUACAUGAUUGAUACUGUAUCUACCUGUAUCAUAGAAGCAAUUCCACUGCAAUGUAAUUUCCUAUAUAUGCACCCCGUUGGCUUUUGCUUGUUGAAUAUUGAAACCGAGUCUUAUUUGUGAUCACAUCCCUGUAUUAUUCUGGGUCAUAUUACAUAUGUGCUCAAGAAUUGUUUAAAGGAUCAAUGAAUACUAAAUAUGUUCUAAUUUUAGGAGCAAAAUUUUCACUUGUGAGAAAUUACUUCUUAGAAAAUUUCCA
rnacentral:lncRNA from 1 species